CUAAAACCAAACCCAGUCUGCCAUUUUUGUCUAAUACCCCCUAACAUGGAAGACGGAGGGGUCGAAUGAGAAGAGGCUACGCUGUGUGCUAGUGACUUACGACGAGCAGGACCUGUUCUUAGAGAGAAGAGCUGAACAUUCCUCUUUGUGGUUUGCAAAGAGACCAAAAGAAAACCUGCACAAAACUAUUAACAACAGCCAAUCCUUGCUGAACAUUUUCACAUCAGUCCUCUGAGACCGACACACCCCCCAGUACAUAGUUGUAUAUUCUUCGUUGUGGGUCCUUCUAGUUGUGGCAUGUGGGACGCUGCCUCAGCGUGGCUUGAUGAGCAGCGCCGUGUCCACGCCCAGGAUUUGAAUCAAUGAAACACUGGGCCGCCUGCAGCGGAGCGCGCAAACUUAACUACUCGGCCACGGGGCCAGCCCCUCACAGCCUAAACAGAUAUGGAAAGAAGGACCAUCUAUGGAGUGGAAUCAGCCUCGUGUGUCUAAAGGAUGUGGGGAGAGGGUGCAGGAUGAUGCUGAAGGGCUGGACAGACCUGGGUUUGAACCCUGCCUCUGCAUUUUCCUUUCCAAGUGGCCUCGGCGUGUUACUUAAUCUUUCUGAGUCUAAGUUUCAUGUUUAUGAAAAAUGAUAUCAAUAAUACUUGGGUCAUAGGGUUGUUGUGAAAAUUCAAAAAGAGAGGUUAUAAAGUUUUUGCCCAGCAUCUAAAAAGGGCUCAGGAAUGGAAACCAUUAUACCAUUUUUGUCCUUCUUCACAUGGAUGGAGGGUAAUUAAUCAUAACUAUCUAUCAGUCACUGAGCACCUAUUAUAUACCAUGUAUGUAUGCAUCUAAUACUUAAAACUGUGUUGCAAGACCAGUAUCAUUACCCCCAUGUUACAGCUAAGCCACCCAGCUACCAUGCAGUGGAGCUAAGAUUCAAAUUCAGGUUUGUUUCCCUCUAAAGCCUGGGUCCAUUCUACUAUCCUCCACUGCCUCCUCAAACCCAAGAAAAAGAUUCAACUAGUCCCGUGAACAUUGGUAGUUUUCAAUAGGGAAUUUCCUCUUCAACAACCUAUUCCCAGUUGCCAGCCUCUUGAAAGGCAACUUUUUGCAACUUAUCAUAAUUGAUCAUGAGCCAGGGACCCUAACCAGCCCCGUGCUCCAGCAUCUCAGUAAUGAGACCCACAAGCCUUAGACUUGUCUGGGUCAUUCGGUGUGUCUGGUCUUGGAUGGCACAUGGUUGUGAAAUCUUCAGACUCCGAGAAACUAUCACCUGUCAGGUCCAGCAAAAAGUUUGAUUCGUAAGCGUCUUAGUCUGUUUGGGAUGCUAUAACAAAAAUACCACAGACAGGGGGGUUUAAACAACAAAUAUUUAUUUCUCACAGUUCUGGAGGCUGGGAAGUCCAAGGUCAAGGCACAGACAGAUUCAGUGUCUGCUGAGAGCCUGCUUCCUGGUUCAUAGAUGACCUCUUCUUGCUCUGUCCUCACACAACAGAAGUGGGGAGGGCGCUCUUUGGGGCCUCUUUUAGAAAAGCACUAAUCUCAUUCAUGAGGGCUCCAUCCUCAGGAUGUAAUCACCUCUCAAAGGCCCCACCUCUAAAUACCACCACAUUGAGAAUUAGGAUUCAAUAUAUGAAUUUGGGGGAGACACAAACAUUCAGUCCAUAGUACUAAGUCAAUAUUUGCAAGAAUAAAAUCAGCAUGUUAUCCCCUGUGGAACUGUUCAUUAUUCCCUCUGAUCAUCUCCUUCCCAUUGGUUUGAUUUCUGAUGUGAGCUCUCAGCAUCAUGUGCUACAUGAGUGAUGGAGAACACACUACAGUUUCACAUCAACCACACAACCCACCCACAGCUCCUGUAGGCAGCCUGAUAUUUUGCCCUUAUGCUGUACUCUGGGAAGAGGAUAGGUGGUUGGUGAAAGACUCACUGAGGACAGUAUGUACAAGUUACCCCAGCUGCCAUCUCC
ensembl:lncRNA